AGAGUUUGAUCAUGGCUCAGAUUGAACGCUGGCGGUAGGCUUAACACAUGCAAGUCGAGCGGAAACGAUGUAGCUUGCUACAGGCGUCGAGCGGCGGACGGGUGAGUAACGCGUAGGAAUCUACCCAGUAGCGGGGGAUAGCCCGAGGAAACGCAUGCUAAUACCGCAUACGCCCUAUGGGGGAAAGCAGGGGAUCUUCGGACCUUGCGCUAUUGGAGAAGCCUGCGUCGGAUUAGCUAGUUGGUGGGGUAAAGGCCCACCAAGGCGACGAUCCGUAGCUGGUCUGAGAGGAUGAUCAGCCACACUGGGACUGAGACACGGCCCAGACUCCUGCGGGCGGCAGCAGUAGGGAGUAUUGGACAAUGGGGGCAACCCUGAUCCAGCCAUGCCGCGUGUGUGAAGAAGGCCUUAGGGUUGUAAAGCACUUUCAGUAGGGAGGAAAAGUUAGUCGUUAAUAACGGCUAGCCGUGACGUUACCUACAGAAGAAGCACCGGCAAACUCCGUGCCAGCAGCCGCGGUAAUACGGAGGGUGCGAGCGUUAAUCGGAAUUACUGGGCGUAAAGCGCGCGUAGGCGGUUUGCUAAGCCAGAUGUGAAAGCCCCGGGCUCAACCUGGGAACUGCAUUUGGAACUGGCAGGCUAGAGUACGGUAGAGGGUGGUAGAAUUUCCUGUGUAGCGGUGAAAUGCGUAGAUAUAGGAAGGAAUACCAGUGGCGAAGGCGGCCACCUGGACUGAUACUGACGCUGAGGUGCGAAAGCGUGGGGAGCGAACAGGAUUAGAUACCCUGGUAGUCCACGCCGUAAACGAUGUCAACUAGCCGUAGGGAUCCUUGAGGUCUUUGUGGCGCAGCUAACGCAAUAAGUUGACCGCCUGGGGAGUACGGCCGCAAGGUUAAAACUCAAAUGAAUUGACGGGGGCCCGCACACGCGGUGGAGCAUGUGGUUUAAUUCGAUGAAACGCGAAGAAAAUUAACUUGCCUUGACAUCCUUGGAAUUUCGCAGAAACGUGAAAGUGCCUUCGGGAGCCAAGAGACAGGUGCUGCAUGGCUGUCGUCAGCUCGUGUCGUGAGAUGUUGGGUUAAGUCCCGCAACGAGCGCAACCCCUAUCUCUAGUUGCCAGCGAUUCGGUCGGGAACUCUAGAGAGACUGCCGGUGAUAAACCGGAGGAAGGUGGGGAUGACGUCAAGUCAUCAUGGCCCUUAUGUCCAGGGCUACACACGUGCUACAAUGGCCGGUACAGAGUGAGGCGAAGCCGCGAGGUGGAGCAAAUCGCAGAAAGCCGGUCUCAGUUCGGAUUGGAGUCUGAAACUCGACUCCAUGAAGGUGGAAUCGCUAGUAAUCGCGCAUCAGCAUGGCGCGGUGAAUACGUUCCCGGGCCUUGUACACACCGCCCGUCACACCACCCGAGUUGGGGGUACCCGAAGUCGCUUGCCUAACCUGCAAAGGAGGGCGGUGCCGAAGGUAUGCCUGGUAAGGGGGGUGAAGUCGUAACAAGGUAGCC
rnacentral:rRNA from 1 species